rnacentral:rRNA from 1 species
UACGGAAGGCAGCAGUGGGGAAUAUUGCACAAUGGGCGCAAGCCUGAUGCAGCCAUGCCGCGUGUAUGAAGAAGGCCUUCGGGUUGUAAAGUACUUUCAGUCGUGAGGAAGGUGUUAAGGUUAAUAACCUUAGCAAUUGACGUUAGCGACAGAAGAAGCACCGGCUAACUCCGUGCCAGCAGCCGCGGUAAUACGGAGGGUGCGAGCGUUAAUCGGAAUUACUGGGCGUAAAGGGCACGCAGGCGGUUAAUUAAGUUGGAUGUGAAAUCCCCGGGCUUAACCUGGGAAUGGCAUUCAAGACUGGUUAGCUAGAGUCUUGUAGAGGGGGUAGAAUUCCAUGUGUAGCGGUGAAAUGCGUAGAGAUGUGGAGGAAUACCGGUGGCGAAGGCGGCCCCUGGGACAAAGACUGACGCUCAUGUGCGAAAGCGUGGGGAGCAAACGAGGGAUUAGAUACC